AAACAUUUCUUGUGCAAAAUUUGCAACAAUAUUGCUUGUAUUCCAGCUUGUCAGAAGAUAUGAAAAGUGCAUUUUAUGAUCAUAGUAAGUAGGGAGGCUUUAUCUAUAUCCUGGCCUUUUUCUGAGAACUACCACUACUUGGUUAUAACGAAGUAAGGCCAGACUUGGAGUUUUUUUACUGGUUUGUUUGAAAUAUGACACUGAAGCUGUGAUAAUACAAGAAUAUUAUCUUUUAUGAGAACUCUGUACCACACUGUGCUAAAAUGAGGAAUACUGAGGGUCUUGUAAAGUUAUUGUUGGUGUUGGUUUUACAAAUAAGAAAAUACUUAAUCUUUUAACACAUCAGCCGCAGGACUUUGAAAUGAUUAUUUAAAAAACUGUUUAGUUCAAAGAACUUGCUGAGCUAUUCACGUCAGGUCUUGAUAACUAUAGAAGCUUUUUUUCUUACUAAAGUGGCGUUUUUUUUCUUGUCUUUUAAAGACUUUAUAGUUGUAACUAUUCACGUAAUAUUACUUUAUUCAUCAUACUUAUAACACUCAUGUUGCAAUAAAAUUUGUGAAAUUUCAUUGUCACAAAUUUCUCUACCCCUCCUCUAUUUUGGUAGAUAUGUUUCUAAACAUCCGCGCUCGUAUCGUCAGCUCCGUUAACGUAGACGCCUCAUGGACCACUCUUGCCUAUUUUCAUUGACUUGACAUAAGGCGGCCAUCUUGGAGCGGUUGCCCCCUCUCCUAGGUGCUAUAUGCUUGGCAGGCGCAGUGCAAUAUCACCGCAUUUAAUCAAUCAUAUCUCGAUAAGUACUAAACAAAUUUUCACACUGUUUUGCUGAAAACAUUAUUAAAACGGCUAUCAUAGCUA